rnacentral:rRNA from 1 species
UACAGAGGUCUCAAGCGUUGUUCGGAUUCAUUGGGCGUAAAGGGUGUGUAGGUGGCGCGCUAAGUCGGGUGUGAAAUUUCGGAGCUUAACUCCGAAACUGCAUUCGAUACUGGCGUGCUUGAGGACUGGAGAGGAGACUGGAAAUUCAUGGUGUAGCAGUGAAAUGCGUAGAGAUCAUGGGGAAGACCAGUGGCGAAGGCGGGUCUCUGGACAGUUCCUGACGCUGGAGGCACGAAGGCCAGGGGAGCAAACGGG